rnacentral:lncRNA from 1 species
UGGGAAUUGUGAUAUUUACAUAAAUGCCUUACAAGUUUUGCUAAUUUGUGUUCACCUUAUUGAUAUGCUUUCUGUUUUAUUUCAUUGGCCUUACCUUCAAGAAGAAUAGCACAACUUUAUGAUGAGAUUGUAACAAGGUGUAGGGAUAAGUACCUGAAUCUGCAGAUUCGUCAAUGCUAUAUUUAUGUACCUGUACCAUUUCAAUUCUUAUUAUAGAUUCAUUACCUUCACCUUUUUUACCUAUAGAAAUAUCACUU